GAUUAAGUUAUUAAGGGCGCACGGUGGAUGCCUUGGCACUAGAAGCCGAUGAAGGACGUUACUAACGACGAUAUGCUUUGGGGAGCUGUAAGUAAGCUUUGAUCCAGAGAUUUCCGAAUGGGGAAACCCAGCAUGAGUUAUGUCAUGUUAUCGAUAUGUGAAUACAUAGCAUAUCAGAAGGCACACCCGGAGAACUGAAACAUCUUAGUACCCGGAGGAAGAGAAAGAAAAUUCGAUCCCCUUAGUAGCGGCGAGCGAAACGGGAAGAGCCCAAACCAACAAGCUUGCUUGUUGGGGUUGUAGGACACUCUAUACGGAGUUACAAAGGACGACAUUAGACGAAUCAUCUGGAAAGAUGAAUCAAAGAAGGUAAUAAUCCUGUAGUCGAAAAUGUUGUCUCUCUUGAGUGGAUCCUGAGUACGACGGAGCACGUGAAAUUCCGUCGGAAUCUGGGAGGACCAUCUCCUAAGGCUAAAUACUCUCUAGUGACCGAUAGUGAACCAGUACCGUGAGGGAAAGGUGAAAAGCACCCCGAAAGGGGAGUGAAAUAGAACCUGAAACCGUGUGCUUACAAGUAGUCAGAGCCCGUUAAUGGGUGAUGGCGUGCCUUUUGUAGAAUGAACCGGCGAGUUACGAUUUGAUGCAAGGUUAAGCAGUAAAUGUGGAGCCGUAGCGAAAGCGAGUCUGAAUAGGGCGUUUAGUAUUUGGUCGUAGACCCGAAACCAGGUGAUCUACCCUUGGUCAGGUUGAAGUUCAGGUAACACUGAAUGGAGGACCGAACCGACUUACGUUGAAAAGUGAGCGGAUGAACUGAGGGUAGCGGAGAAAUUCCAAUCGAACCUGGAGAUAGCUGGUUCUCUCCGAAAUAGCUUUAGGGCUAGCCUCAAGUGAUGAUUAUUGGAGGUAGAGCACUGUUUGGACGAGGGGCCCCUCUCGGGUUACCGAAUUCAGACAAACUCCGAAUGCCAAUUAAUUUAACUUGGGAGUCAGAACAUGGGUGAUAAGGUCCGUGUUCGAAAGGGAAACAGCCCAGACCACCAGCUAAGGUCCCAAAAUAUAUGUUAAGUGGAAAAGGAUGUGGCGUUGCCCAGACAACUAGGAUGUUGGCUUAGAAGCAGCCAUCAUUUAAAGAGUGCGUAAUAGCUCACUAGUCGAGUGACACUGCGCCGAAAAUGUACCGGGGCUAAACAUAUUACCGAAGCUGUGGAUUGUCCUUUGGACAAUGGUAGGAGAGCGUUCUAAGG
rnacentral:rRNA from 1 species